rnacentral:rRNA from 1 species
GCGAUCAUCUGGGGUUGUUCUGACGCUGAAGAGCGAAAGCUAGGGGAGCAAACGGGAUUAGAUACCCCGGUAGUCCUAGCCGUAAACGUUGAGUGCUAGGUGUUAAGUGUAUGACCCAUUUAGUGCCGCAGGAAACCCAAUAAGCACUCCGCCUGGGGAGUACGGCCGCAAGGCUAA